rnacentral:lncRNA from 1 species
CCCCAGCAGAAUUGCAAAUGAAAUGUGUGUUUGCUCCUCAAAUGGCUCCAGCCGUACCUGAACUCCUGCACCCCACACGUCCUUGGACUCCCUCCCCUCUGACCCCCAUCCCUGCACCCCACAGCUGUGAGAUGGGGGUCAGACCUCCAAGAGGGUGUUCUUUGAGCUGGGAGCUCAUUUUGGGAGGGCUCCAGAUUCUGGUAUCAAGGAGGGGUGAUGGAGAAGAGACUUGUUCCAGCUUGCAGGUGAGGGGAGCACAGGUAAGCAGUUAAUUAAUUGCCAGUGAAAUUAUCAACUGCCACCCACUUAAUAGAGGGUGGUGAGGGAUAAAGACUCUGCGAAAUUAUUGCCAUGGUGCAAAGUUUCAAUAAAAAAGGAUUACAAAGGGCAGUGUUGGGCUGAGAGGUUCCCAGCGCUGUGGGCAGGGACUCCCAGGGCUUUGGCCACUUUGAGGGAAGGGGGAAUGGGUGCAGGGAAGGCACGGAGGGACCCCGGGUUGUGCUGAACAUCCCUGCAGAAGCUGAGGUCUGACAGCCCUGAGGUCCCACCCCUGCCCACGGCGGAGCAGCCGGCUCAGCCCUUCCCGGCACGGCAGCGCUGCGGGGCCGCCCUUCGCCUCGGGAAAUCUGGCAUUCCAUGGGACACGUGGGGAUCCGCCAGGAGCCUCAUCCCUUCCCCUGGGAAUCUCCUCCUCGCUCCCAGGAGCGCGGGGAUGACUCAUGUGCGCUCUUUUGUGCCGGGCGAUGCGCUCCUGCCCUGGGCAGGCGCCGUCCCGCAGCAGCGCCGCCGAGGGACACCCGCAGGCAAAAUAUUCAAGGAGAAACAACGCCAAACGCAGCCCUGGGAGUCUUUGCUGCAGCUCCACGGCGCACGGGGUGCGUUUAUCUGGCACGACGCCAGUCAAGUCGGAGGGCAAACCGGGGUCAAAUCGGCCACGUAGGUGCCUGGGGUUGGUGAAAAUUGGUAGUUUUGGCUGCCCGGCCCCACGGCAGCCCCUCGGCGCUGCAGCCGCCCAGCCCAGCCGCUGCCUCUGCCCUGCCGUGGGCUCCCCGGUGCGUGGGGACACGGAGCGGUGGCACCGGGCUCCUCCUGCGCUGCCCGGGGCAGCCACGGCGGAUUCCAGCGAUGGGAGAGGACGCGGCAGCGCUGCCGGAGGAGUCACGCCCCGGCUGCUCCGAUUUGUUGUCUGCCUGGGCCAGGCCUGGCAACGUCAGGGAAAUUAA